UUGACGGGGACCCGCACAAGCAGCGGAGCGUGUGGUUUAAUUCGUUGCUACACGAAGAACCUUACCUGGGUUUGACAUAUAAGUUGUAGGGAACUGAAAGGGACCGACCCUUCGGGGAGCUUAUACAGGUGUUGCAUGGGCUGUCGUCAGCUCGUGUCGUGAGAUGUUCGGUUAAGUCCGCUAACGAGCGCAACCCUCGCUGUGUGUUAUAUGUGUCACACGGGACUGCCGGUCUUAAGCCGGAGGAAGGUGAGGAUGAUGUCAAGUCAGCAUGACCUUUAUAUCCAGGGCUACACACACGCUACAAUGGUCUGUACAAUGGGUAGCCAAGCCGCGAGGCGGAGCCAAUCCUGAAAGCAGGCCUCAGUUCAGAUUGCAGUCUGCAACUCGACUGCAUGAAGCCGGAGUUGCUAGUAACCGCAGGUCAGCAAUACUGCGGUGAAUACGUUCCCGGGUCUU
rnacentral:rRNA from 1 species